rnacentral:rRNA from 1 species
GACGAACGCUGGCGGCGUGCUUAACACAUGCAAGUCGAACGGAAAGGCCCCCACUUUUUUGGUUGGGGUGCUCGAGUGGCGAACGGGUGAGUAACACGUGGGUGAUCUGCCCUGUACUUCGGGAUAAGCUUGGGAAACUGGGUCUAAUACCGGAUAGGACCAUGGUUUAGUGUCUCAUGGUGGAAGAAUUAUUGUUGUGGUGCAGGGUGAGCUCGCGGCCUAUCAGCUUGUUGGUGGGGUAAUGGCCUACCAAGGCGUCGACGGGUAGCCGGCCUGAGUGGGUAGACGACCACAUUGGGACUGAGAGACGGCCCAGACUCCUACGGGAGGCAGCAGUGAGGAUUAUUGCACAAUGGGCGCCAGCCUGAUGCAGCCACGCCGCGUGGAGGAUGACGGCCUUCGGGUUGUAACCUCCUUUCGUUAGGGACGAAGCCGCACCUUUUUUGGGUGUGGUGACGGUGCCUUUGUGAAGAAGCACCGGCUAACUACGUG